AUUUAUUUUGAAUAGAAGAUGACCCGACCUAGUUAGCUGCUUUUAAAAUUUGUAUCUAAACAACUGCUAAGGCGUCGCAUGUAUAAAUGAUUCAGCUGUCUCACUACACAGCGUCAUAAUCGACUUUGGAAACUACUUUGAAAGCAGACAGAUUAACCGCAAGGAUGAUGAAAGUGUUGUUGUUUGUGAUGUCCGUGAGCUUGUUCUUUACCCAAGCAUUGGCUUCUGGCCAUGAAGACCACAGCUAUGAUGAUAACGGAGCAGGUAGCAAUUUCACCUAUCUACCUUUGAUGAUAGUGGCUUUUGUCCUGGCUCGUUUAGCUUUCCGCUAGGCGGCUGCAAAGGAGUGUUGCACGAGGCAGUCUAGAAAAUUGGCAUUAUAAUCUACCAUCGCUUGCUUUAAUAUAUAAUCUCAACGUGCUUUAUUUCUACGUAUACCCUUUGAAAAGUCGAAUAAACAUGCAGAUUAGUUUUGAUUUUGCUUGACAACACAUUUGAAUAAAUAAUUAAAGUCUUAUUAAAAACAAUAUAAUAUUAUGAAUGAUAUGUGUUGCAGCAGGACCAGUGUCCAAAUUAACAUCAACAACUUGGACUAAAUGGGUUAUAAUAAUAAUUAAUGAUGUAUAUUUACUGUAAAGCUAUCAUCCAGUUUGAUAUCAAAACGUCUAUGUAUUACUUAACAUAAUCGCUGGUUAGUGUCACUUUUACAAAGGCAUAUAUGUGUAAUCAGUUUCUUCACUACUUGUUGACUUAAAAUUACACUACUUCUAAAAAUAAAAUUUCUAUAAAAACG
rnacentral:lncRNA from 1 species